rnacentral:rRNA from 1 species
GACGAACGCUGGCGGCGUGCUUAACACAUGCAAGUCGAACGGAAAGGCCCUGCUUUUGUGGGGUGCUCGAGUGGCGAACGGGUGAGUAACACGUGAGUAACCUGCCCUUGUCUUUGGGAUAACUUCAGGAAACUGGGGCUAAUACAGGAUAGGAGCUCCUGCUGCAUGGUGGGGGUUGGAAAGUUUCGGCGGUUGGGGAUGGACUCGCGGCUUAUCAGCUUGUUGGUGGGGUAGUGGCUUACCAAGGCUUUGACGGGUAGCCGGCCUGGGAGGGUGACCGGCCACAUUAGGACUGAGGUACGGCGCAGACUCCAACGGGAGGCAGCAGUGGGGAAUAUUGCACAAUGGGCGGAAGUGUGAGGAAGCAACGCCGCGUGCGGAAUGACGGCCUUCGGGUUGUAAACCGCUUUCGCCUGUGACGAAGCGUGAGUGACGGUAAUGGGUAAAGAAGCACCGGCUAACUACGUG